rnacentral:lncRNA from 1 species
UAGAAUUCUUUUUUUAUAAGUUUAUGUUAAUUGAACUGUUAAACAACAACCUCCAAAAAAAUUCGAAAAUUUUGAGCGUGAGACCGUCGUAUUUUCAAACAUUGUGACAAGCGCUGUCACAAGCAGUUAGUUGAAAUAUUUUCUAAGACAAAGUGUCGACAACUGCAGAGAUUUCAGAAUGCUUUUGGAUUCAAUCGCACCCUGCACCAGAUAACACAUAUAGCUGAUAAUGAUGAUGGAACGAAAAAUUACCUGAAACUGAGUAUAUUCUGACAGGCAUGUGCCCCUCAUUCCCUCCAGGGCUAAUCGCCUCCACCUUCUAUUUAUCUCUUGUUCUGUUUAUCCUUAUUCUGUUCUAUUAUUUUGUAUUAUCUCUUAUUCGGCCGUGUUAAGAAUAAGGCGUAUAGUUUGUGUGAUAUGUACGCCGUUAGUAAGACGAUAAAAACGAAAGUGAGAUGACUACUUUUACGACUGAAACAGUACAGAGGAAACGUGGGUGGUCGGGGUAAAGUGACACCCCUAUCACCCCUCAUCCCUCCAGCUUUGUUGGACGUCGGUGAAAUCCGGGGUCCACCCAAUCUUCGACAAAAUGGUGGUGACAUAAAGUCUGUAAAGUUCUGUAGUCGCAUACACCCGUCGUCACCACUAGUAAAAUAUCUGAUGGUCUUAUCGAAUGAACGUUUCUUGUAGCCGUUGCAGCGGCCUUUACAGGUCAACCAACCUUGUAAUUACUGCCAAGACUAUCAUCGAAAAGCGUCCUUGGCCUCACCGAUGAUCUGCGUGGGUUUUAAAGAAUGGACCCACCUCUUGAUGAUCAGGCGGACGCUUCUUUGCUCAACUCCAGAACCACUCGAGUUUGGAUGGCUAAACACGUGGGAAGAAUUGUCUCCACGCCGUCUGCCAACUAAACCGACAAUAAACGAUAGAAAACGAAAAAAAAAACUCCCGCUAAAAGUUGGUAUGCAAUCACGUGACAAACACGUUUGACAGCCCAAGAUCGAUGACACACGACCUCAGACUGACGUUUUAUUUCACGCAGCCACGUGGGCGAAGCGAUAUCAAGCGACAUCUAAACUCAACCAUUUUAAAAGACGAUUUUUUUUAUUUAAGCUAGUCACCCAACCACUUCUCACCCAAUGCUCACAUACCUAACCGUACUUUCACCUCAGUGAGGUACUUAACUCUCUCGUAUUGUUACUUUCUCAUCAGCAUUGUUGGAAUAUUGUUGAUGGUUUAGCCUUCGGGUCUUCCGUAUUCGGUUUAGAUCUUAAGCAUGAUACAUUUCUAUUUAGUAAUAGGUGGAGUUAGUUUGUUGACAACCAGCAAUUUGUAUGUCGUUCUGGUCUUUCAAUGAUCCUACGACCAACGAUGCAUCAAUAAUCGGAAGGGUUUGAAAAUGCAACAAGCUUCCAUUUAAUAACCGCACUUGCAAAAGUUACACGUUAUUACCCAUUACUUACCAUGCUGUUAUCUGUGGAAUAUAUAUCUGUAAAUUUUCUACACCGUCGUUAAAAUUCGCAUAUAGCUCCCUUAUGUCAC